rnacentral:lncRNA from 1 species
GUCAGUGCUGCUAGUCACUCAGGCAAAGAAACACAGUACUGGAAGGCAAACAUGCAUUUGGAUGAAUUGUGAAUUUUUUGCCGGAAUCUCUCUGAAUAUCCUGUGAGAUUAAGGUCAGGAGAUUAUGGAAAUACUUUACCAGUGGCAAGACAAGCUUCCUUAGCAAGACUUAUUCAAAAGUAAAUGCCCUGGUUUCAGUGACCUUGGUAAAAUCUGAGGAUGUACAUAACUAUUUGCCACAAGUCAUUAACCAGUUAUAUUGCUGAACUAAAAGAAGUAGAAGUAGGUCCCAUUCAU